UACGUAGGGCGCAAGCGUUGUCCGGAAUUAUUGGGCGUAAAGAGCUUGUAGGCGGUUUGUCGCGUCUGCUGUGAAAAUCCGGGGCUCAACCCCGGACUUGCAGUGGGUACGGGCAGACUAGAGUGUGGUAGGGGAGACUGGAAUUCCUGGUGUAGCGGUGGAAUGCGCAGAUAUCAGGAGGAACACCGAUGGCGAAGGCAGGUCUCUGGGCCACUACUGACGCUGAGAAGCGAAAGCCAGGGGAGCGAACGGG
rnacentral:rRNA from 1 species